rnacentral:rRNA from 1 species
CCUACGGGUGGCAGCAGUGAGGAAUAUUGGUCAAUGGGCGGAAGCCUGAACCAGCCAAGUAGCGUGCAGGAUGACGGCCCUACGGAUCGUAAACCUCUUUUAUACGGGAAUAAAGUGCCUUACGUGUAGUGCUUUGUAUGUACCUUAUGAAUAAGGACCGGCUAACUCCGUGCCAGCAGCCGCGGUAAUACGGAGGGUCCGGGCGUUAUCCGGAUUUAUUGGGUUUAAAGGGUGCGUAGGCCGCCUUUCAAGCGUGCGGUGAAAGGUUUGGGCUCAACCCGGGCAUUGCAGUGGAAACUGGGGGGCUUGAGUACGCGGGAGGCAGGCGGAAGGCGUGGUGUAGCGGUGAAAUGCUUAGAUAGGACGAAGAACCCCGAUUGCGAAGGCAGCUUGCUAAGGCGGAACUGACGCUGAUGCACGAAAGCGCGGGUAUCAAACAGGAUUAGAUACCCUUGUAGUC